AUUUUCUCUCUUAUUAGUUUUAUGUUUUUAUUAUUAGGUUUUAUAUAUAGGUCAAUUGACCAAAUCAUAUAAUAAAAUUAUAUUUUUAGUAUUGUUUUUCAUUGUCAUCUUAUUUAUCAUCUCAUAAUUUGCAACUAAUAGCUUCUGCAUGAUGCCCUCUCGAUUUCGAACCCAACACUAGUUGUAUGGGUGUAGUCUAGUGCGAGUUAUAUUUCUUCUAUAGUUUGCGAGCUAUUAUAGAAUGGAUAGAUUACCACAGAGUGCUCACCCAAAGGAGAAACACAAGUUUAUAGGUUUGCCUGGAGGUUCAACAACAACAACAAAAAGAACUUAUCAAUCAAUGUAUUUAUAAUUUCUUUUGUAUUUCUCAAUUGGGAAGAAUCCUUUAUUCUUAUACAAGACAAGACAAUAAAAUACACCC
rnacentral:lncRNA from 1 species